UUAGUAGCGGCGAGCGAACAGGGAAGAGCCCAGCACUGAAUCGCGCGCCCGAAAGGACGCUGCGAAAUGUAGUGUUUGGGAGGGUCCACAUUUCCGUGGUUUAACAUUGCGUCCAAGUCCUUCUUGAAGGGGGCCAUUUACCCAUAGAGGGUGCCAGGCCCGUAGUGACCAUUGUUGAUUGCGGAAGGAUCUCUCCUUAGAGUCGGGUUGCUUGAGAGUGCAGCCCUAAGUGGGUGGUAAACUCCAUCUAAGGCUAAAUAUGACCACGAGACCGAUAGCGAACAAGUACCGUGAGGGAAAGUUGAAAAGAACUUUGAAGAGAGAGUUCAAUAGUACGUGAAACCGUUUAGGGGUAAACCUGAGAAACCCGAAAGUUCGAACGAGGAGAUUCAGUGUGUCUCGUUGAGUACGAGUGCUGUCAGUUUAGACGUUUGUCGUUCGCGGCAUACGCUACUGAUGUGCGCCGUUGCUUGUCGAACGCAUGCACUUCUCCUCCAGUAGGACGUCGCGACCCGUUGGGUGUCGGUCUGAGGCUCGCAGUGGAGCCCUUGCGUCGGCUUUAGGGCCGUUCGUUUGGACCUGUGAUGUCCCGGCCGGCUGCUCGACGGUGGAAAAAAGGCGCAGAGCCGCGACUAGCUCGCGUUCGGCCCGAUGCAAGCGCGAACGGUUACUCGAUCAUCGGACUUGUGCCGAUCUCGAAGCCGAUCGACUGUUGGUGUCGGUGUUCCCGGACAGACUCUGUACUCGCCUGUCAGCGGCGCUAUAGCUUUGGGUACUUUCAGGACCCGUCUUGAAACACGGACCAAGGAGUUUAGCAUAUGCGCGAGUCACUGGGACCAUCAAAUCCUAAAGGCGAAAUGAAAGUGAAAGCAGAGCCUAGCUCAGCCAAGGGAAGACGGGUGACUUCGGUCGCCUUGCACUCCCGGGGCGUCUCGUUCUCAUUGCGAGAAGAGGCGCACMUARAGCGUAUACGCUAUAACCCGAAAGAUGGUGAACUAUGCCUGGUCAGGAC
rnacentral:rRNA from 1 species